GCCCUGGUGGUGAAAUUGGUAGACACAGGAGACUUAAAAUCUCCCGCUCUAACGAGUGUACCGGUUCGAGUCCGGUCCGGGGCACCA
rnacentral:tRNA from 1 species